CUACGGGAGGCUCCAGUGGGGAAUAUUGGACAAUGGGGGAAACCCUGAUCCAGCAAUGCCGCGUGUGUGAAGAAGGCCUGCGGGUUGUAAAGCACUUUCGGUUGGGAGGACUGCUUCUAGCACUAAUAUUGUUGGAAGUUGACGUUACCUUCAGAAGAAGCACCGGCUAACUCCGUGCCAACAGCCGCGGUAAUACGGAGGGUGCAAGCGUUAAUCGGAAUUACUGGGCGUAAAGCGCGCGUAGGCGGCUAGAUCAGUCGGGUGUGAAAGCCCCGGGCUUAACCUGGGAACUGCAUCCGAUACUGUCUAGCUUGAGUACAGGAGAGGAGAGUGGAAUUCCACAUGUAGCGGUGAAAUGCGUAGAUAUGUGGAGGAACACCAAUGGCGAAGGCAGCUCUCUGGCCUGAUACUGACGCUGAAGUGCGAAAGCGUGGGGAGCAAACAGGAUUAGAUACCCGAGUAGUC
rnacentral:rRNA from 1 species